rnacentral:rRNA from 1 species
UGUCCUACGGGACGCAGCAGUGAGGAAUAUUGGUCAAUGGGCGGGAGCCUGAACCAGCCAAGCCGCGUGAAGGAAGAAGGCGCCAAGCGUCGUAAACUUCUUUUGUCGGGGAACAAAGGGCGCCACGUGUGGCGUUGUGAGUGUACCCGAAGAAAAAGCAUCGGCUAACUCCGUGCCAGCGGCCGCGGUAAUACGGAGGAUGCGAGCGUUAUCCGGAUUUAUUGGGUUUAAAGGGUGCGCAGGCGGCCUGUUAAGUCAGCGGUAAAAGCCCGGGGCUCAACCCCGGCGAGCCGUUGAAACUGGCG